rnacentral:ribozyme from 13 species
UGGCUUGGCACGGUCAACCUUCCCUUGAGCAAGACCAAGAAGCACGUCAUUGACGGCACUUUUCCUCAGUUUUCGGAAAGGCUGCUU